UGCGUAGGUGGUGAGGUAAGUCGGAUGUGAAAGCUCGGAGCUCAACUCCGAAAUGGCAUUGGAAACUACCUCGCUCGAGGGUUGGAGGGGGGACUGGAAUACUUGGUGUAGCAGUGAAAUGCGUAGAUAUCAAGUGGAACACCAGUGGCGAAGGCGAGUCCCUGGACAACUCCUGACACUGAGGCACGAAAGCUAGGGGAGGCAAACA
rnacentral:rRNA from 1 species